UACGUAGGGUGCGAGCGUUGUCCGGAAUUACUGGGCGUAAAGAGCUCGUAGGUGGUUUGUCGCGUUGUCCGUGAAAACUCACAACUCAAUUGUGGGCGUGCGGGCGAUACGGGCAGACUGGAGUACUGCAGGGGAGACUGGAAUUCCUGGUGUAGCGGUAAAAUGCGUGGAUCUCGGGAGGAACACCAAUGGCGAAGGCAGCUUCUUGGCUCAUUCCUGACGUUGAGGCACGAAAGCGUGGGGAGCAAACAGG
rnacentral:rRNA from 1 species